CCAGCCCCGCAGCCGCUGCGUGUGUUUGCGGUGCCAGCCAGAGGCUCAUUUAUGAUUUGUGAGCGCAAAUACCGGCUUCGGGGCUUGGCUCCCCGCACUCAGACCUCAGCAUUCAAGGGGGUUGAGGGCAACGGGUGGGAGACUGUAUUGGACGGGGGGGCUAGCAGGCAGCCCUGAGUAUCCCUGCCCCGCUCCUCGGCUAUCCCAGAGCGACCUACUGGGCCCAGGCAAAGUAAGGAGGCGCAAAAAGUCAACCCGGUAGGCGAGAGAGAGGGGUCGCUUGUCGGUAACGCAAAUUCACCGCAGCUCAUCGGAAAGUCGGCGCCAGACAUCGCUUUUAGGCUGACUCGCCAAAGGCCGUUGCUUCGUAAAUUUCUCAGGAUUCGUUACAACUAAUCCCUGCUCAUUAUUAUCAGCCCCGAGUCUUCCUUCAGCUCAGAUGCCGCGCUAAAGAGAAAUUGCUUCACAUAGUAACCCGAACUCAACUGUUUACAGCGGCACGACCGAAUUAUUCACCCAAAGACCAGGACACUAAUAAUUGCUCUUCGAUAACAGUCGAGAAAGAGGAAAAUAUAUAAAUCUCCUCGGCAGAGGAAAGGUUCUGGAAACCCACUGAAGUUGCAUCAUGUUAGAGCAUGGGCAGGUGAAAUCGGGAAUGACCUGCUUGUUUUCACUAUCCAAGAGAAAGCUCCCAAACAGGGGCAGACACUUGCCCCUAUUUUGACGUCCUAGACCGCAUACUGGGGGGCGGGAUGGUCUGUGCCACCCCGGGGGUCAUCGGUCCUGGAGCAGAGGGCCCUGACCAGGGCAUGGGGGAGGAACGCCAGGAGCUGCAGGAGCCCAGAGGGAGCGUGCCACACAGCCAGGACCCCGAAGCCAUCCCAGCAGACCGUCACCAAUGUCAUCCGGGGAGGCAACAACAUGUGCGUGCCAUCACUGUCCCCUUAUUGGGGGCGGGGAGGGAGACCAAGGACUGCGUGCAUGGGCCUUGUUUACCACGGAUCAUGCAGCAAUUUGUGCAUGUGCAUGCAUGUGCCAUGA